ACAACACGGAAUUCCUGUUGGGCCUUGGACUUCAGCUUGUACACGAUGCCUCGACCGAGGUCCCGGACCCCCAGGGGCCCCUCCACGACAUGGCAAGGGCAACCCCCCGGACGUGACGAUCGUUCCCUGCCUAACCCAAGAUGGCUGCCCUCGCGCCCAGCCCAGCAUGUGGCAACCUGGACGGUGUUGUCCGGCGACACAAGCGUCGGGUUCGUGUCUCGACGCCGUUGGCGAGACCAGACUCGCCCUCUACGAACCGACCCAUCAUCCUCGCUCCCUGAACCCUUCAGAGGUCUAACACUAGCCGACCGACACCCGAUUGAACCUCCUGCCGUCUACACGCCAGAGGAGAGGUCACAGCUGUGCCCCAUCUGUGGCACCCUCCAGCUUCACCAGGAAACUCAUCGUGCCGGCGCACUACACCUCGCCCGUGUUCAACACCAGCUUGCUACUCCUGCCCCAGCGUUCCUGGGCCCGUCGGACGUCCGGGCUGCCCUGGAGCUGAUACAAAGGUACCAACCGCAGCUAUUGGUUGGUCGCCACACCCCCGUUCGCCCUGCAGAUGAACGCAUACUGGACCUGCCGGACCUCCCGGAACUUUGACUCAGUGGUGGUGCCUGUGUUAAGGGGGGGAAGAAUGUGGGGUGGCGCUACUGUCGAGACAGACAGGCCGCACCGGGGUAGAGGGUGGAUCCGCGGAAGGAUUACCGCGAUAAAAGGAAGAUAAGUGGCAUUUCGCGGGGGAGACAAGAGGAGACAACACGGAAUUCCUGUUGGGCCUUGGACUUCAGCUUGUACACGAUGUGAGUGCCCAAUUUGUGUAACUCUUUGUCAGGCAAUAAAGAGUAUGUUCGUUCUA